UCAGACCUCUCUGGAAGAUAUAGAGAGAAUGGAAGGAGGAGAAGAGAGAGAGAAAAGAGGAAACGGAAAGGAAGUGAGAAAGGGAGGAACAAGAGUGUUACCUGUUUUUGUUUUU
rnacentral:ribozyme from 1 species